UUCAGGGAGUGGCCUUGGGUGGCACAGGCCACCCCUGAAAUCUGAUUGGCCACCCCAAGUGCCACCCCAAUAUCUUACAAUAUGAUUGGCUAUAUGCCCAGUCAGAGGCGGGCCACGGCACUGAAUGUAAACUGCACUCUUGUUUAGAGUUGCAGUUCCUUCUCAAACCUGAGAGGCAGAGAUGCGCUAAAGUAGUAUGUAGCCUGCAAAACAAAAAAAGGCGCGAAGAAGAAGAAGAAGAAGUUUGAGCAGGUGAACCUACAGGUGAAACAAACUGUUUUUCUACAGUCAGUCUAUGGAAGCAACACGUCUCUGGAGCGUCGUCGUGAAAGAUGACAGGAAGAAGGGAGGGAGGAAGGAAGCAAGGAAGGAAGGAACUGUCAAAACAGAUUGGGUCUCUUGAAUGCCAACCUACCGACUGGUGUUUACAUGAUCGUGGGAACUAUGGAAGUCUCCAGAUAUGUGGCAUCAAUGGAAGACAUCUGGAGGAAG